rnacentral:rRNA from 1 species
AGUAGUGGCGAGCGAACGCGGAAGAGGCCAAACCGGAGGUAGCAAUAUUUCCGGGGUUAGGACUGCAAUAUGUAACUUUAAUCUUUAACUGAAUGCUUUGGGAAGAGCAGCGAUACAGGGUGAUAGCCCCGUAAGUGAAAAGGAUUGAGUGCUGGCAGUAUCCAGAGUACCAGCGGACACGUGAAACCCGCUGGGAAGAUGGGGGGACCAUCCUCCAAGCCUAAAUACUACUCAGUGACCGAUAGUGGAGCAGUACCGUGAGGGAAAGGUGAAAAGUACCCCGGGAGGGGAGUGAAAAAGAACCUGAAACCUUGUGCCUACAAGCACCGAGAGUCCGUUAAAGGAUGAUCGGGUACUUUUUGUAGAACGGUCCGGCGAGUUAAUAUUUGCAGCGAGGUUAAGGAACUGGAGUUCCGGAGCCGCAGCGAGAGCGAGUCUGAAUAGGGCGUAUGAAGUUGCAGGUAUUAGACCCGAAACCGGGUGACCUAUCCAUGAGCAGGCUGAAGCGGUGGUAAGACACCGUGGAGGGCCGCACCCACGUCUGUUGAAAAAGCCGGGGAUGACUUGUGGAUAGCGGAGAAAUUCCAAUCGAACUCGGAGAUAGCUGGUUCUCCCCGAAAUAGCUUUAGGGCUAGCGUUAUUUUAGAUUACCGGAGGUAAAGCACUGAAUGGUCUAGGGGCCGCGAGGUUACCAAAGCCUAUCAAACUCUGAAUGCCGGAUAAUUGAUGAAUAGCAGUCAGACUGUGUGAGAUAAGUCUCAUAGUCAAAAGGGAAACAGCCCAGAUCUACAGCUAAGGUCCCAAAUGAACACUAAGUGGAAAAUGAUGUGAAACUGCGAAGACAACCAGGAUGUUGGCUUAGAAGCAGCCACUCAUUCAAAGAGUGCGUAAUAGCUCACUGGUCGAGUGGUUUUGCGCAGAAAAUGUAACGGGGCUAAGUGUUCAACCGAAGCUUAGGCAUUGUACUUUGUACAUUGGGUAGGGGAGCGUCGUAUGCGGGGCGAAGUCAGAGCGGAAGCACUGGUGGACUGCAUACGAGUGAGAAUGCCGGAAUAAGUAGCGAGAAUUAUGUGAGAAUCAUAAUGGCCGAAAAUCUAAGGUUUCUUGGGGAAGGUUCGUCCGCCCAAGGUUAGUCGGGAGCUAAGCUCAGGCCGAAAGGCGUAGGCGAUGCACAUACGGUAGAAAUUCCGUAACCACCGAACAUUUAAGCUAGAGGGACGCUUUCUUUAAGGUUAUCCCGGGCGAUGGUUGCCCCGGGCGUAAGGGACCGAAAUUUAGUAGGGAAGUAGACGGCGUGAGAGACGAGAAAAGCUCUAGUGUAUACUAAGGUGCCCGUACCGCAAACCGACACAGGUAGAUGGGAUGAGUAUUCUAAGGCCAACGGGAGAAGGGUUGUUAAGGAACUCGGCAAAUUGGCCCCGUAACUUCGGGAUAAGGGGCGCCUGCGAGAGCAGGCCGCAGUGAAAAGGCCCAAGCGACUGUUUAGCAAAAACACAGCUCUCUGCUAAAUCGAAAGAUGACGUAUAGGGGGUGACGCCUGCCCGGUGCUGGAAGGUUAAGGGGAGUGCUUAGCGCAAGCGAAGGUGCGAACUUAAGCCCCAGUAAACGGCGGCCGUAACUAUAACGGUCCUAAGGUAGCGAAAUUCCUUGUCAGGUAAGUUCUGACCCGCACGAAUGGCGUAACGAUUUGGGCACUGUCUCAACAGCCCGCCCGGCGAAAUUGUAGUACCGGUGAAGAUGCCGGUUUCCCGCAACUAGACGGAAAGACCCCAUGGAGCUUCACUGUAGCUUGAUAUUGGAUCUCGGUAUUCCAUGUACAGGAUAGGUGGGAGGCUAGGAAGUAAGCGCGCCAGCGUUUAUGGAGCCAACCUUGGGAUACCACUCUUGGGAUAUUGGGAUUCUAACCUGCGACCAUGAAUCUGGUCGGGGGACACUGUCAGGUGGGCAGUUUGACUGGGGCGGUCGCCUCCAAAAGAGUAAC